GUGCGAGAAGUUCCUUCGGGAGCGAGUAAAGCGGCGCACGGGUGAGUAACACGUGGGUAAUCUACCCUUUAGUUUGGGAUAACUCCUCGAAAGAGGAGCUAAUACCGGAGAGACCACAAGAACAUCAGUUCAAGGGGUUAAAGAUGGGGAUCCUUCGGGACCUAUCGCUAGAGGAUGAGCUCGCGGCCUAUUAGCUAGUUGGCGGGGUAAUGGCCCACCAAGGCUUUGAUGGGUAGCUGGUCUGAGAGGAUGAUCAGUCACACUGGAACUGAGACACGGUCCAGACUCCUACGGGAGGCAGCAGUGGGGAAUUUUGCACAAUGGGCGCAAGCCUGAUGCAGCAAUGCCGCGUGGGUGAUGAAGGUUUUCGGAUUGUAAAUCCCUGUCGGCUGGGAAAAACGGCCUUUUGGCUAAUAACCAAGAGGAGUGAUGGUACCAGCAAAGGAAGAGGCGGCUAACUCUGUGCCAGCAGCCGCGGUAAUACAGAGGCCUCAAGCGUUGUUCGGAAUUAUUGGGCGUAAAGCGGAUGUAGGUGGCUUAGCAAGUCAGAUGUGAAAGCCCUGGGCUUAACCCAGGAAGUGCGUUUGAUACUGCUUCGCUCGAGUGCGGUAGAGGAGAGUGGAAUUCCAGGUGUAGGGGUGAAAUCCGUAGAUAUCUGGAGGAAUACCAAUGGCGAAGGCAACUCUCUGGUCCGCAACUGACACUCAGAUCCGAAAGCGUGGGGAGCAAACAGGAUUAGAUACCCUGGUAGUCCACGCCGUAAACGAUGGGUGCUUGCCGUUGGAAGUG
rnacentral:rRNA from 1 species